GCCCAGACUCCUACGGGAGGCAGCAGUGAGGAAUAUUGGUCAAUGGGCGAGAGCCUGAACCAGCCAAGUCGCGUGAGGGAGUACUGCCCUAUGGGUUGUAAACCUCUUUUGUCAGGGAGCAAAGGGCGCCACGUGUGGCGUUUUGCGAGUACCUGAAGAAAAAGCAUCGGCUAACUCCGUGCCAGCAGCCGCGGUAAUACGGAGGAUGCGAGCGUUAUCCGGAUUUAUUGGGUUUAAAGGGUGCGCAGGCGGAAUGUCAAGUCAGCGGUAAAAUUUCGGGGCUCAACCCCGUCGUGCCGUUGAAACUGGGUGCCUUGAGUGGGCGAGAAGUACGCGGAAUGCGUGGUGUAGCGGUGAAAUGCAUAGAUAUCACGCAGAACUCCGAUUGCGAAGGCAGCGUACCGGCGCCCAACUGACGCUGAAGCACGAAGGCGUGGGUAUCGAACAGGAUUAGAUACCCCAGUA
rnacentral:rRNA from 1 species